rnacentral:tRNA from 2 species
GCCGGUGUAGCUCAGCUGGUAGAGCAGUCGCUUCGUAAGCGAGAGGUCGGGGGUUCAAGUCCCUCCACCGGCACCA